rnacentral:rRNA from 1 species
UAGGGAAUAUUGGGCAAUGGAUGCAAGUCUGACCCAGCCAUGCCGCGUGCCGGAUGAAGGCCCUCAGGGUUGUAAACGGCUUUUAUUCGGGAAGAAGAGCAGGGAUGCGUCCUUGUGUGACGGUACCGAAUGAAUAAGCACCGGCUAACUCCGUGCCAGCAGCCGCGGUAAUACGGAGGGUGCGAGCGUUGUCCGGAUUUAUUGGGUUUAAAGGGUGCGUAGGUGGCUUUAUAAGUCAGUGGUGAAAUACAGCCGCUCAACGGUUGAGGUGCCAUUGAUACUGUAGAGCUUGAAACAAGUGGAGGCUGCCGGAAUGGAUGGUGUAGCGGUGAAAUGCAUAGAUAUCAUCCAGAACACCGAUUGCGAAGGCAGGUGGCUACGUUUGAUUUGACACUGAGGCACGAAAGCAUGGGGAGCAAACA